ACUCAAAUGAAUUGACGGGGGCCCGCACAAGCGGCGGAGCAUGUUGCUUAAUUCGACGCAACGCGAAGAACCUUACCAAGGCUUGACAUGCAGGGAAAAGCCGUAGAGAUACGGUGUCCGUAAGGGCCCUGCACAGGUGGUGCAUGGCUGUCGUCAGCUCGUGUCGUGAGAUGUUGGGUUAAGUCCCGCAACGAGCGCAACCCUCGUCCUAUGUUGCCAGCGGGUUAUGCCGGGGACUCAUAGGAGACUGCCGGGGUCAACUCGGAGGAAGGUGGGGAUGACGUCAAGUCAUCAUGCCCCUUACGCCUUGGGCUGCAAACAUGCUACAAUGGCCGGUACAAAGGGCUGCGAGACCGCAAGGUGGAGCGAAUCUCGAAAAGCCGGUCUCAGUUCGGAUUGGGGUCUGCAACUCGACCCCAUGAAGUCGGAGUCGCUAGUAAUCGCGGAUCAGCAACGCCGCGGUGAAUACGUUCCCGGGCCUUGCACACACCGCCCGU
rnacentral:rRNA from 1 species